rnacentral:rRNA from 1 species
AGGACGAACGCUGGCGGCGUGCUUAACACAUGCAAGUGGAGCGACGAACCAGGGCUUGCCCUGGGGCAGAGCCGCGAACGGGUGAGUAACACGUGGGUUACCUGCCUCGAUGACUGGGACAACCCGGGGAAACUCGGGCUAAUACCGGAUGUGCCCGCAAGGGGAAAGGAAGCUUCGGCCUCCGCAUCGAGAUGGGCCCGCGGCCCAUUAGCUUGUUGGUGAGGUAACGGCUCACCAAGGCUUCGAUGGGUAGCUGGUCUGAGAGGACGAUCAGCCACACUGGGACUGAGACACGGCCCAGACUCCUACGGGAGGCAGCAGUGGGGAAUCUUGCGCAAUGCGCGAAAGCGUGACGCAGCAACGCCGCGUGGGGGAAGAAGGCUUUCGGGUUGUAAACCCCUUUCAGUUUGGGACGAAGCUUCGCCGGUGAAGUAGCCGGCUGGAGUGACGGUACCUUCACAAGAAGCACCGGCUAACUACGUGCCAGCAGCCGC